GCACUGGCAAAAUCCAGUGCCGGGAUUGGACCCCCGUUGAAUAGCACAUAGCGCAUCGAUUCAGAUUAACCCUCUGACAAUGUGU
rnacentral:sRNA from 1 species